AGUGAACGCUGGCGGUAGGCCUAACACAUGCAAGUCGAACGGCAGCACAGUAAGAGCUUGCUCUUACGGGUGGCGAGUGGCGGACGGGUGAGGAAUACAUCGGAAUCUACUUUUUCGUGGGGGAUAACGUAGGGAAACUUACGCUAAUACCGCAUACGACCUACGGGUGAAAGCAGGGGAUCUUCGGACCUUGCGCGAUUGAAUGAGCCGAUGUCGGAUUAGCUAGUUGGCGGGGUAAAGGCCCACCAAGGCGACGAUCCGUAGCUGGUCUGAGAGGAUGAUCAGCCACACUGGAACUGAGAAACGGUCCAGACUCCUAGGGGAGGCAGCAGUGGGGAAUAUUGGACAAAGGGCGAAAGCCUGAUCCAGCAAUACCGCGUGGGUGAAGAAGGCCUUCGGGUUGUAAAGCCCUUUUGUUGGGAAAGAAAAGCAGCAGGUUAAUAACCCGAUGUUCUGACGGUACCCAAAGAAUAAGCACCGGCUAACUUCGUG
rnacentral:rRNA from 1 species